rnacentral:rRNA from 1 species
GUCGAACGGAAAGGCCCUGCUUGCAGGGUACUCGAGUGGCGAACGGGUGAGUAACACGUGGGUGAUCUGCCCUGUACUUUGGGAUAAGCCUGGGAAACUGGGUCUAAUACCGAAUACGACCACUUCUUGGAUGGGGUGGUGGAAAGCUUUUGCGGUAUGGGAUGAGCUCGCGGCCUAUCAGCUUGUUGGUGGGGUAAUGGCCUACCAAGGCGUCGACGGGUAGCCGGCCUGAGAGGGUGUACGGCCACAUUGGGACUGAGAUACGGCCCAGACUCCUACGGGAGGCAGCAGUGGGGAAUAUUGCACAAUGGGCGCAAGCCUGAUGCAGCGACGCCGCGUGGGGGAUGACGGCCUUCGGGUUGUAAACUCCUUUCGCAACCGACGAAGCUUUUGUGACGGUAGGUUGAGAAGAAGCACCGGCUAACUACGUGCCAGCAGCCGCGGUAAUACGUAGGGUGCGAGCGUUGUCCGGAAUUACUGGGCGUAAAGAGCUCGUAGGUGGUUUGUCGCGUCGUUUGUGGAAUACCGCAGCUUAACUGCGGGGUUGCAGGCGAUACGGGCAUAACUUGAGUGCUGUAGGGGAGACUGGAAUUCCUGGUGUAGCGGUGGAAUGCGCAGAUAUCAGGAGGAACACCGAUGGCG